rnacentral:rRNA from 1 species
AUUGAACGCUGGCGGCAUGCCUUACACAUGCAAGUCGAACGGCAGCACGGGAGCAAUCCUGGUGGCGAGUGGCGAACGGGUGAGUAAAGUAUCGGAACGUGCCCAGUCGUGGGGGAUAACGUAGCGAAAGUUACGCUAAUACCGCAUACGAUCUAUGGAUGAAAGCGGGGGAUCGCAAGACCUCGCGCGAUUGGAGCGGCCGAUAUCAGAUUAGGUAGUUGGUGGGGUAAAGGCCCACCAAGCCGACGAUCUGUAGCUGGUCUGAGAGGACGACCAGCCACACGGGGAGUGAGACACGGCCCAGACUCCUACGGGAGGCAGCAGUGGGGAAUUUUGGACAAUGGGCGAAAGCCUGAUCCAGCCAUGCCGCGUGCAGGAUGAAGGCCUUCGGGUUGUAAACUGCUUUUGUACGGAACGAAAAGGACUGCCCUAAUACGGUGGUCCCAUGACGGUACCGUAAGAAUAAGCACCGGCUAACUACGUGCCAACCGCCGCGGUAACAC